AGGUAAGCUACUAAGAGCGAAUGGUGGAUGCCUUGACUGGUAAAGGCGAUGAAGGACGUACUAGACUGCGAUAAGCUACGGGGAGCUGUCAAGAAGCUUUGAUCCGUAGAUUUCCGAAUGGGGCAACCCAAUGUAUAGAGAUAUACAUUACCUAUAUAGGAGCGAACGAGGGGAAUUGAAACAUCUUAGUACCCUCAGGAAAAGAAAUCAAUAGAGAUUGCGUCAGUAGCGGCGAGCGAAAGCGCAAGAGGGCAAACCCAGUGCUUGCACUGGGGGUUGUAGGACUGCAAUGUGCAAGAGGUGAGUUUAGCAGAACAUUCUGGAAAGUAUAGCCAUAGAGGGUGAUAGUCCCGUAUGCGAAAAACAAACCUUAGCUAGCAGUAUCCUGAGUAGGGCGGGACACGAGAAAUCCUGUCUGAAGCUGGGUCGACCACGAUCCAACCCUAAAUACUAAUACCAGAUCGAUAGUGCACAAGUACCGUGAGGGAAAGGUGAAAAGAACUGAGGUGAUCAGAGUGAAAUAGAACCUGAAACCAUUUGCUUACAAUCAUUCAGAGCCCUAUGUAGCAAUACAGGGUGAUGGACUGCCUUUUGCAUAAUGAGCCUGCGAGUUGUGGUGUCUGGCAAGGUUAAGCAAACGCGAAGCCGUAGCGAAAGCGAGUCUGAAUAGGGCGCUUAGUCAGAUGCUGCAGACCCGAAACGAAGUGAUCUAUCCAUGAGCAAGUUGAAGCUAGUGUAAGAACUAGUGGAGGACUGAACCCAUAGGCGUUGAAAAGCCCCGGGAUGACUUGUGGAUAGGGGUGAAAGGCCAAUCAAACUUCGUGAUAGCUGGUUCUCUCCGAAAUAUAUUUAGGUAUAGCGUUGUGUCGUAAUAUAAGGGGGUAGAGCACUGAAUGGGCUAGGGCAUACACCAAUGUACCAAACCCUAUCAAACUCCGAAUACCUUAUAUGUAAUCACAGCAGUCAGGCGGCGAGUGAUAAAAUCCGUCGUCAAGAGGGAAACAACCCAGACUACCAGCUAAGGUCCCUAAAUCUUACUUAAGUGGAAAACGAUGUGAAGUUACUUAAACAACCAGGAGGUUGGCUUAGAAGCAGCCAUCCUUUAAAGAAAGCGUAAUAGCUCACUGGUCUAGUGAUUUUGCGCGGAAAAUAUAACGGGGCUAAAGUAAGUACCGAAGCUGUAGACUUAGUUUACUAAGUGGUAGGAGAGCGUUCUAUUUGCGUCGAAGGUAUACCGGUAAGGAGUGCUGGAGCGAAUAGAAGUGAGCAUGCAGGCAUGAGUAGCGAUAAUUAAUGUGAGAAUCAUUAACGCCGUAAACCCAAGGUUUCCUACGCGAUGCUCGUCAUCGUAGGGUUAGUCGGGUCCUAAGUCGAGUCCGAAAGGGGUAGACGAUGGCAAAUUGGUUAAUAUUCCAAUACCAACAUUAGUGUGCGAUGGAAGGACGCUUAGGGCUAAGGGGGCUAGCGGAUGGAAGUGCUAGUCUAAGGUCGUAGGAGGUUA
rnacentral:rRNA from 1 species